UACGAAGGGUGCAAGCGUUACUCGGAAUUACUGGGCGUAAAGGGUGUGUAGGCGGUUGCUUAAGUUUGGUGUGAAAUCUCCCGGCUCAACCGGGAGGGUGCGCCGAAUACUGAGUGACUAGAGUGCGGGAGAGGAAAGUGGAAUUCCUGGUGUAGCGGUGAAAUGCGUAGAUAUCAGGAGGAACACCGGUGGUGUAGACGGCUUUCUGGACCGUAACUGACGCUGAGACACGAAAGCGUGGGUAGCAAACAGG
rnacentral:rRNA from 1 species